UUAAGCAUAUCAAUAAGCGGAGGAAAAGAAACCAACAGGGAUUGCCUCAGUAACGGCGAGUGAAGCGGCAACAGCUCAAAUUUGAAAUCUGGCCCCGUCGGGGUCCGAGUUGUAAUUUGUAGAGAGUGUUUCGGGUGAGACCACGGUCUAAGUCUAUUGGAACAUGGCGUCAUAGAGGGUGAGAAUCCCGUAUGUGACUGUGGCUCGAGCCCAUGUGAAGCCUCUUCGACGAGUCGAGUUGUUUGGGAAUGCAGCUCAAAAUGGGUGGUAAAUUUCAUCUAAAGCUAAAUACUGGCUGGAGACCGAUAGCGCACAAGUAGAGUGAUCGAAAGAUGAAAAGCACUUUGGAAAGAGAGUCAAAAAGUACGUGAAAUUGUUGAAAGGGAAGCGCUUGCAACCAGACCUGUCCGUAGGUGAUCAGCCGCUGUUCUCAGUGGUGCACUCGCUCUGCGAUCAGGCCAGCAUCGGUUCCGGCGGUCGGAUAAAGGCCUUGGGAAUGUAGCUCCUUUCGGGGAGUCUUAUAGCCCUCGGUGCAAUGCGGCCAGCCGGGACCGAGGACCGCGCUUCGGCUAGGAUGCUGGCGUAAUGGUUGUAAGCGACCCGUCUUGAAACACGGACCAAGGAGUCUAACAUCUAUGCGAGUGUUUGGGUGUCAAACCCAUGCGCGGAAUGAAAGUGAACGGAGGUGAGAACCCUUUAGGGCGCAUCAUCGACCGAUCCAGAUGUCUUCGGAUGGAUUUGAGUAUGAGCAUAGCUGUUGGGACCCGAAAGAUGGUGAACUAUGCCUGAAUAGGGUGAAGCCAGAGGAAACUCUGGUGGAGGCUCGCAGCGGUUCUGACGUG
rnacentral:rRNA from 1 species